AGAGUUUGAUCCUGGCUCAGGAUGAACGCUAGCGGCAGGCUUAACACAUGCAAGUCGAGGGGUAACGGGGAAGCUUGCUUCCGCCGACGACCGGCGCACGGGUGCGUAACGCGUAUACAAUCUACCUUGUACUGGGGUAUAGCCUUUAGAAAUGAAGAUUAACCCCCCAUAGUCUCUUAGAGUGGCAUCACUUCUAGAGUAAAGGUUACGGUAUAAGAUGAGUAUGCGUUCUAUUAGUUUGUUGGUGUGGUAACGGCACACCAAGACUACGAUAGAUAGGGGCCCUGAGAGGGGGAUCCCCCACACUGGUACUGAGACACGGACCAGACUCCUACGGGAGGCAGCAGUGAGGAAUAUUGGACAAUGGAGGCAACUCUGAUCCAGCCAUGCCGCGUGCAGGAAGACUGCCCUAUGGGUUGUAAACUGCUUUUAUACAGGAAGAAACACCUCUACGUGUAGAGGCUUGACGGUACUGUAGGAAUAAGGAUCGGCUAACUCCGUGCCAGCAGCCGCGGUAAUACGGAGGAUCCAAGCGUUAUCCGGAAUCAUUGGGUUUAAAGGGUCCGUAGGUGGAUAAUUAAGUCAGAGGUGAAAUCUUGCAGCUCAACUGUAAAAUUGCCUUUGAAACUGGUUAUCUUGAGUUAUUAUGAAGUAGUUAGAAUAUGUAGUGUAGCGGUGAAAUGCAUAGAUAUUACAUAGAAUACCAAUUGCGAAGGCAGAUUACUAAUAAUCAACUGACACUGAUGGACGAAAGCGUGGGUAGCGAACAGGAUUAGAUACCCUGGUAGUCCACGCCGUAAACGAUGGUUACUAGCUGUUUGGACUUCGGUCUGAGUGGCUAAGCGAAAGUGAUAAGUAACCCACCUGGGGAGUACGUUCGCAAGAAUGAAACUCAAAGGAAUUGACGGGGGCCCGCACAAGCGGUGGAGCAUGUGGUUUAAUUCGAUGAUACGCGAGGAACCUUACCAGGGCUUAAAUGUAAGUUGCAUUAGUUAGAGAUAGCUAUUUCUUCGGACCACUUACAAGGUGCUGCAUGGUUGUCGUCAGCUCGUGCCGUGAGGUGUCAGGUUAAGUCCUAUAACGAGCGCAACCCCUGUUGUUAGUUGCCAGCGAGUCAUGUCGGGAACUCUAGCAAGACUGCCAGUGCAAACUGUGAGGAAGGUGGGGAUGACGUCAAAUCAUCACGGCCCUUACGUCCUGGGCUACACACGUGCUACAAUGGUAGGUACAGAGAGCAGCCACUGCGCGAGCAGGAGCAAAUCUAUAAAACCUAUCACAGUUCGGAUCGGAGUCUGCAACUCGACUCCGUGAAGCUGGAAUCGCUAGUAAUCGGAUAUCAGCCAUGAUCCGGUGAAUACGUUCCCGGGCCUUGUACACACCGCCCGUCAAGCCAUGGAAGUUGGAAGUGCCUGAAGUCCGUCACCGUAAGGAGCGGCCUAGGGUAAAGUCGAUAACUAGGGCUAAGUCGUAACAAGGUAAAUCGAUUCCCGCGGCCG
rnacentral:rRNA from 1 species